GAAGGGAAGAAAUUUCAGGGGAAGAAGGAAGAAGAAUUAAAGGGAAGAGAGGGAAGAGAUCUCAGGGAAGAAGAAAGAAGAGACAGAAAAAGGAAGAAAAUGGAAGAAGAAGAAGAAGAAUAGAGAGAAGAAAGGAAGAAAUCUUGGAGAAAAAGAAGAAUUGGAGGGAAGAAGAGGGAGAGAGAAGAAUAGAAGAAACUUGGUAUUUGGGAAGAGUAAUCUGC
rnacentral:misc_RNA from 1 species